rnacentral:rRNA from 1 species
CCUACGGGAGGCAGCAGUGGGGAAUUUUCCGCAAUGGGCGAAAGCCUGACGGAGCAACGCCGCGUGAGGGAUGGAGGCCUCUGGGCUGUAAACCUCUUUUCUCAAGGAAGAAGAUCUGACGGUACUUGAGGAAUAAGCCACGGCUAAUUCCGUGCCAGCAGCCGCGGUAAUACGGGAGUGGCAAGCGUUAUCCGGAAUUAUUGGGCGUAAAGCGUCCGCAGGCGGUCCAGAAAGUCUGCUGUUAAAAAGUGGAGCUUAACUCCAUCAUGGCAGUGGAAACUACUGGACUAGAGUGUGGUAGGGGCAGAGGGAAUUCCCGGUGUAGCGGUGAAAUGCGUAGAUAUCGGGAAGAACACCAGUGGCGAAGGCGCUCUGCUGGGCCAUAACUGACGCUCAUGGACGAAAGCCAGGGGAGCGAAAGGGAUUAGAUACCCCUGUAGUCCUGGCCGUAAACGAUGAACACUAGGUGUCGGGGGAAUCGACCCCCUCGGUGUCGUAGCCAACGCGUUAAGUGUUCCGCCUGGGGAGUACGCACGCAAGUGUGAAACUCAAAGGAAUUGACGG